rnacentral:rRNA from 1 species
UCAUGCUAGAAAGAGCGUAUGGUGGAUGCCUUGGCACUAAGAGCCGAUGAAAGACGUGAUAAGCUGCGAAAAGCUUCGGGGAGGAGCAAAUAUCCUUUGAUCCGGAGAUCUCUGAAUGGGGAAACCCACUUGAGCAAACCUCAAGUAUCCUAACGCCAAUACAUAACGUUAGGAGGGGAACCCGGUGAACUGAAACAUCUAAGUAGCCGGAGGAAGAGAAAACAACAUGUGAUUCUGUGAGUAGCGGCGAGCGAAAACGGAAGAGCCCAAACCGGGAUGCGUGCAUCCCGGGGUUCGGACCGCAUAAUUGAUUCAACAAAUUUAGCAGAACGGUUUUGGGAAAGCCGGCCAGAGAGGGUGAAAGCCCCGUAAGCGAAAGAUGAGUUGACAUGGCGGUAUCCAGAGUAGGUCGAGACACGUGGAACCUUGACUGAACAUGCGGGGACCACCCCGUAAGGCUAAAUACUCCUUAGUGACCGAUAGCGCAUAGUACUGUGAAGGAACGGUGAAAAGGACCCCGGGAGGGGAGUGAAACAGAACCUGAAACCAUAUGUUUACAAGCUGUGGAACCAUGUUUUAUGUGGAACCGCGUACUUUUUGUAGAACGGUCCGGCGAGUUGCGCUGGCUGGCGAGGUUAAGCACCAAAGGUGUGGAGCCGAAGGGAAACCAAGUCUUAAUAGGGCGAAUGAGUCAGUCGGAGCAGACCCGAAACCGGGUGAUCUAUCCAUGUCCAGGUUGAAGUUGCCGUAAAAGGCAAUGGAGGACCGAACCCACAUCCGUUGAAAAGGGUGGGGAUGAGGUGUGGAUAGGGGAGAAAUUCCAAUCGAACCCGGAGAUAGCUGGUUCUCCUCGAAAUAGCUUUAGGGCUAGCCUCAUAUAAGUCUUGCGGAGGUAGAGCACUGAAUUUCCUAGGGGGCGUCAAAGCUUACCGAAGAAUAUCAAACUCCGAAUGCCGUGUAGAUGUUGUAUGGGAGUCAGACUGUACGAGAUAAGUUGGACAGUCAAAAGGGAAAGAGCCCAGACCUGCAGCUAAGGCCCCAAAAUGUGUGUUAAGUGGAAAAGGAUGUGGGAUUUCAAAGACAACUAGGAUGUUGGCUUAGAAGCAGCCAUACAUUCAAAGAGUGCGUAAUAGCUCACUAGUCGAGAGGUCCUGCGCCGAAAAUGUCCGGGGCUGAAACACACUGCCGAAGCUCAGGAAUUAACUGAUGUUAAUUGGUAGAGGAGCAUUGUAUACGGGACGAAGCAGUACCGAUAAGGAGCUGUGGACUGUAUAGAAGAGAGAAUGCCGGAAUGAGUAGCGAGAGGAAGGUGAGAAUCCUUCCGGCCGAAUAUCUAAGGUUUCCAGAGUAAAGCUGAUCUGCUCUGGGUAAGUCGGGGCCUAAGGCCAGGUCGAAAGACGUAACCGAUGGACAACAGGUUGAAAUUCCUGUACCUUAAGUAAACAGAACUGUGGGGACACGUGUGGAGAGCACAAGCCGGAAAUGGAAAAGCCGGUGCAAGCGAGGUAGGAGAUGAAUAGGCAAAUCCGUUCAUCAAUCCGAAGACGUGAUGCGGACCGAAUUAAGAGUAGGGAAGUGUGUGAGCCAUGCGUCAAGAAAAGCCGCUAUUGUUUUACUUAAGCCCGUACCGUAAACCGACACAGGUGGAUGAGGAGAGAAUCCUAAGGCCGACGGGAGAAGCAUUGUUAAGGAACUCGGCAAAAUGACUCCGUAACUUCGGGAGAAGGAGUGCCAGCGAGAGCUGGCCGCAGAGAAUUGGCCCAAGCAACUGUUUAGCAAAAACACAGGUCUAUGCAAAACCGUAAGGUGAAGUAUAUGGGCUGACGCCUGCCCGGUGCUGGAAGGUUAAGAGGAGAGGUUAGCGGCAACGCGAAGCUUUGAAUUUAAGCCCCAGUAAACGGCGGCCGUAACUAUAACGGUCCUAAGGUAGCGAAAUUCCUUGUCGGGUAAGUUCCGACCCGCACGAAAGGCGUAAUGAUUUGGGCACUGUCUCAACAAUGCACCCGGUGA